rnacentral:rRNA from 1 species
GAUGAACGCUGGCGGCGUGCCUAAUACAUGCAAGUCGAGCGGUAAGGCCCCUUCGGGGGUACACGAGCGGCGGACGGCUGAGUAACGCGUAGGAACGUACCCCAAAGUGAGGGAUAAGCACCAGAAAUGGUGUCUAAUACCGCAUGUGAUCUUCGGAUUAAAGCUUCGGCGCUUUGGGAACGGCCUGCGUCCGAUUAGCUAGUUGGUAGUGUAAAAGACUACCAAGGCGACGAUCGGUAGCUGGUCUGAGAGGAUGAUCAGCCAGACUGGGACUGAGACACGGCCCAGACUCCUACGGGAGGCAGCAGUAGGGAAUUUUCCACAAUGGGCGAAAGCCUGAUGGAGCAACGCCGCGUGCAGGAUGAAUGCCUUCGGGUUGUAAACUGCUUUUAUGUGUGACGAUUAUGACGGUAACACAUGAAUAAGGACCUGCUAACUACGUGCCAGCAGCCGCAGUAA